UACGGGGAGCAAGCGUUGUUCGGAGUUACUGGGCGUAAAGGCGCGUAGGCGGCCAGCGCAAGUCAGUUUGUGAAAUCUCCGGGCUUAACUCGGAACGGUCAACUGAUACUGCGCGGCUAGAGUGCAGAAGGGCAACUGGAAUUCUCGGUGUAGCGGUGAAAUGCGUAGAUAUCGAGAGGAACACCUGCGGCGAAGGCGGUUUGCUGGGCUGACACUGACGCUGAUGCGCGAAAGCCAGGGAGCGAACGGG
rnacentral:rRNA from 1 species